CCACAACUGGUGGUGAACGCCAAACAACCAACAAACCGUCUACUGACGUCAAAAUAAAUCAGCUCGCCUUGCACAGUUUGUGGCUCUUCGUCUUUGGGCUCCCAGAAACACAGUCUGACUUCGGUACUACCGUGCUAAUGAAAAACGAGUUAUAUGGGCUCAUAUGACAGGGUCAGAUACUUGCACUUUUGCCAUUACGGAGGAUACACAUACUCGUGUCCAGGAAGACAUAUUCAGAACCAGAAAGACUGAAUAAUUCAAGAGCCUUUAUUAAAGGCCAUAUCUGCCUUUCUCGUCAAGUUAUCAGAGUGUUCAAUAACUAUUGACAUAAGGACCAAUUCUCCAGACA
rnacentral:sRNA from 1 species